ensembl:lncRNA
GGCCUAUUAACUUUAUUACCUUUUAACUUAAGACACAUUUAAAUGAACAACAAUGUACAUUCGUUUAAAAUCUAUCCUUCAUCCACACUUGAAAUUUAUGAACUUGGAAAAUUAAGUAGGUCGCACACACUGGAAACUCAUUUGUGCUGCUUUAAAAAUAGCGGAGUCUACAUUCAUACAGUUCAAAUGCCGUACUGUAGCCUAUAAAACACAGUAAAAGGUCAUAAAAGGAACAAAAUGUCAAGUAUGAACUUGUCAUGAUCUAGUGCCACGGAGAACAAAGAUGGCUGACGACAAAGUUCUAACAGUGUGAGUGCUGCUGCAACGCGUGUAUAAAAUUCAUCAACAUCAGGACACCCAAUUCACAGGACAGAUACGGUAGUGGUGGUGGAGAAACCUGAAUGAAACUUGCUAAUAGACAGAAAAACACCUUAUGAUUUCCGUAUCACGCUGAUUGAUGACGUAAGCAGUGUCGUACAUAGUGGUUUCAUUUAAUCGCAGGUCUAUCGUUAGAGGAUCUUCUUCAUAUAAUCUGGAGAACUCAUGCUAUCACACAGUGUGUUACAGAAUUCAGAACAGAGUUUAUUAAGAUCUCGUACAAUGUGACGAGUAAUCUAAAAACGCAGCUGAAAUUACGGUCUAAAACCGGUAUUAUUCGUAAAUCUUCACUGCCAAUAUUAAUGUUAACCGGCUAGCUAACAAGCUCUGGUACUGGAAUCACCAAACUACCCUUACUGAGAAGCAUUUGAAGGGUUUGUCCAUGUGUCUAUAUUGCUCUGGUGUUUGCAGUCUGCCUUCUGUUUCAGAAAAUUGAGUCAAUUACUUGAAUAUUGUUUAAUUAGUCAGCAAUAAUAAACCAUAACCAUAUCCUACAAAUCAAACCAAUGGCACAUAAUCCUAACUACACACUAGAAACCCUGAUUCAAGAAUUAGGCCUGUGUGUGACAACAUAAAAGGUACUUUUUGUGGUUCACUAUAGCGUCGGUGACUGAUAGAACAUUCUGUAAUCCUAAAAAAUGAUCCGGGCUCAUUCUAACACAAAUUACUGGAAUGUUAUUGCCAUUCAUUUUUAUCUAAGGUAAAGUAAUGGAAAUUUGAUGAAACUGUAUGAUGUGAGAGACAUUCAAAUGGUUGUUCAUUUAUCUUCAGUAAACACUUCAUCAUGCUCAGGGUCGCAGUGGAUCCGGUGUCUAUCCCGGGAACACUAGGCGUGAGGUGGGAAUUCACCCUGGAUGGGACGCCAGUUCGUUACAGGACACCAUGUACACGUGCACAUUUACAGCUACGGGCAAUUUAGCAUCACCAAUUCACCUACAAGCAUGUUUCUGGGAGUUGGGAGGAAACUGGAGAACCUGCAGGAAACCCACAAGGAGAACACUAGAGCUCAGGAUCGAAGACAGCAACACUGCGCACUCCGUCACUGCGCCG